CUAGAAGUUAUACUUUUUCAUUUUGAUUGCAAUAUACAUAAGUUCAAGUGUCAUUCAAAAUACUACACAUAAAGACUUGGUUCUAUUUAAAACCUCUUAAAAUAUUAAAAUUACAACUGUAAUAAUAAAAUAAAAAACUUGUUUCUAAGACAUUCAGAUACUACAAAUCUUUUGAUUCUAAGACCUUUAAAAAACCUGUAAAAAUUCAGAUGGAAUACUAUAUCAAAAAGAUAAUGACUUAUAUUAUCAUAUACGAAUCAAAAAAAAAGAAAAAAUAAAAAUUUCUGUACCUUACGGUUUUUCGUAAACUCAAGACGAAUUGGAGCUUUUGGAAUAUGUUUUGCUUCUGAUUUUCAAAAACUUAGAAUGUUAGAUCUAAUAGGAAAUUACGGCUUCUAAUUUAGUGAAAUGCAUCUGAUUCAAGUGAAGAAAGAAGUAAGACAAAAGAAACUCAAAGCUUCUGAUUUUCGGAAUCGAAACCACAAGAAAGUCAGAGUAUAUUUACAGUUCAAUGUCUUUGAUAUAAGUGAUAAUACCUCUGAUUUUGGAGAAGAAAGAAGUAAGAACAAAAACAUCAUAACCCAAAUAUGAUUUUAAACAAAAAAAUAGAAUCGUUACUUACUUCUGUCGAUGAUUGUAGACCCUUCGAUAGUAGGCACGCGUUCAAGAAUCGAAGCGUGUUUUCCCCUCGAUUUUUUGAUUUCCUGCUUGUGUGCGUCGGCCUCUUCUUCUAGUUCCAGCAAUAUGUAAGCAGUAAAGUUAGCAUAACACUAACAAAGGGAAAAAAUUGGGCCCUUAUGUCUUGGUGGGCCCUGUUCUUAAGCACCGGUUGAACUCCAAUAGGGCCGGCCCUGGUGAGAUACACUGGCAUCGUUGGGUGUCGUACUUUUGUUGUUUCGCUAGUGAUUUUGAACUGGUCCAACAUUUUCUCUUAUUUGUGUCAUAUUGCGGUGUUACACUCUAUAUGCUUAUAAUUCUUUAUUUCUGUAUUUCCUUAUUGGAGUUUGACUAUUUGACUCUUCUUGGUUAGACUAUAACCAACAAUUGAAGUCCAUCUUUAUUGUGAACUCAAAUCUACUACUUUCCAAAAUGCAAACAUUGCAUAGACGGCUUCUUUUUAUAGCUACAAAAGUUUUCUGCAUAGAUGCAUGCAACUAUAACCAUGUACCUCUGUUUUCUUAAUCCUCGUUUCAGAACUUCUUUUUAUUUUACUAUGGGCAUAAUUAUAUAUGCUUUAAUUUUGUGGUCCUUGCACUUUAUUAAUUAUACAACCGCUAAUAACCUCCUUGCAAGAUUCUCUUCUUUUUAAUUCCUUGUGUAGAAAGCAAAGGAGGCAAAGAGUAUUUAAG
rnacentral:lncRNA from 1 species